rnacentral:rRNA from 1 species
UAGGGAAUCUUCGGCAAUGGACGAAAGUCUGACCGAGCAACGCCGCGUGAGUGAAGAAGGUUUUCGGAUCGUAAAACUCUGUUGUUAGAGAAGAACAAGGACGUUAGUAACUGAACGUCCCCUGACGGUAUCUAACCAGAAAGCCACGGCUAACUACGUGCCAGCAGCCGCGGUAAUACGUAGGUGGCAAGCGUUGUCCGGAUUUAUUGGGCGUAAAGCGAGCGCAGGCGGUUUCUUAAGACUGAUGUGAAAGCCCCCGGCUCAACCGGGGAGGGUCAUUGGAAACUGGGAGACUUGAGUGCAAAAGAGGAGAGUGGAAUUCCAUGUGUAGCGGUGAAAUACGUAGAUAUAUGGAGGAACACCAGUGGCGAAGGCGGCUCUCUGGUCUGUAACUGACGCUGAGGCUGGAAAGCGUGGGGAGCAAACAGG